CAGCAGCCGCGGUAAUACAGAGGGUGCAAGCGUUAAUCGGAAUUACUGGGCGUAAAGCGCGCGUAGGUGGUUUGUUAAGUUGGAUGUGAAAGCCCCGGGCUCAACCUGGGAACUGCAUCCAAAACUGGCAAGCUAGAGUACGGUAGAGGGUGGUGGAAUUUCCUGUGUAGCGGUGAAAUGCGUAGAUAUAGGAAGGAACACCAGUGGCGAAGGCGACCACCUGGACUGAUACUGACACUGAGGUGCGAAAGCAUGGGGAGCAAACAGGAUUAGAGACCCCCGUAGUCCCUGUCUCUUAUAC
rnacentral:rRNA from 1 species